GCUCAACUUUAUUCAGUCUCCAGUCCCGUUACAAGUACAUCGUACGAUUUUGAAUAGUCGUGUGUUGAUAAAAAACGAUUUCUUGAAUAUUCAUAAGAUGACUUAACACAUUACAGGAAUACUCGAUACGCAUCUCCUGGCACAACAAUCUGAAAGUGAUAUAACUGCAGUUCGAUAAAUAGCUGUGAUGAUUACCAACCCCCUUAGAGGAGACGGUACCUAAAGAAGAAUACUCAAAAAUUUACUUAUGUAACCAUUUCUAUCUCGAAGAUAAUAGAAGCAAUACUAUCUGUGACGUGUUUUCUGUACAUUUGUUUACAAUGUUCGCUAAAAGAAUCAUGAGUAAGUACUUUUUGACCAAAUUCACUUUGUAUUUGAGAUGCGCACAAAGAUAAUGGAAACCGUGGAACUCGUAAGUGAGAUAGCAAACGAAUGUAUACUCUGUGCAGGUUUUUUAAUUGGCGAGACAUUACCAAAAUAAAAUUCAAAAAAACCGAAUGUCAACACAAGUGCGCAUCCAAAUCUCAAAUACGAAGUGAAUUUGGUCAGACUGUAUAUUAUGUAAAGUGACUAUUAAUGAACUUGUGGAUUUAAAGAACAGGAAUAAAAAAAUAUUAAAUGAAACAUUACACCCUGGAUCAAGGUAUGUAUUGGACCGAAAUAAAAAAUCGAUAAUUUAGAUUUGUGCGGUCGAAAUUAGUGCAGUCAAAACCGCAAUAGAUAUGGAUUCGGUUUCAGCAUUAAAAGUUAUGUGGAGCAAGAUUAUGAAACCAGAGAUUUUUACUUCUGGUGCCGAGAAAACUAGAAAAAGACAUGUAAACUAUGAUAAGCCCCAACAGUUCUGAUAAUUUGGACCCUUAAACAUUGACAUUCAUUAGCAUUAGUAUUGUUACAGGUUAGACAAAUAAAAAGUAUAUAAGUAGUUU
rnacentral:lncRNA from 1 species